AAGCAGAGCACACCUGACCCUCUUACUCGCUGACGUCCCAUCUCAACACAGAUGCUGUGGGUUCCUCACAUGUAGCAAAUGAAGAGGAAGGAACAGAACCAGCACAGGUGAUUCCCGUGGGGACGGAGGGGCUGCUAGAGGGAUAAAGUCUGAGGACCGUCCAGGGAAGCCUGAGCGCGCAGUUGCACGUGGCAGGUCCUAGGAGGGGGGUUGGCCUUCUUGGGCGGCCUCUGCGCAGGCGCGAGCUCGGGGAUGGGCGUGUGGGCGUGGCUACAGCCUCGUUGCGCCUGCGCGCAUGUCCGGCAGGGUCAGGUGACCGUUGAGCUCCCGCAGACGCCCUUGGCCCUUCCAGGUGAGGAACUGGCUUAGAGCUGCGGCUUCUCCUCCUGGAAGAUAUUCUUGCUGGAUUCUGAUUCCAUGUAUUUCCUCAAUUCUCAAAUAAUGAUGCAGCUUAGAAGACAGAAGACUAAGAAUGCCCUAGAUUUUUGGUGGAAGAACUUCUGAGGGAGUCGGGGACGCCUGUGAGACACACACACUCGCUGCCAGUCCCUUAGUUGUCUGACAUCAGUAUUUACUGCUCCUUCCCUAUGAGCCCCUCUCUGCCAUCAGGGAUCAUGAAAAAGCUGGCAGGGUGUGUCCAUUGGCACCAGCUGCUCCUUCUGUGUCUCCAGCCAUCACAAGCAGCCCCAGGACCUCCAGGUGGGUGGAAAUUAAAGUACAGCCUCCCCAGGAUUUGGGGGUUUCCAUUUUCCUCUGCUGGUUUCUUUCUUUUUCUUUUUUUUUUUUUUUUGUAAUUUUUUUAAGGUUUAUUCAUUUUUUAGA